AAUUUUCGGCAAUGGGGGAAACCCUGACCGAGCAAUGCCGCGUGAACUAUGAAGGUAUUCGGAUCGUAAGGUUCUGUUAUUGGGAAAGAAAUGCAUAAUAAGGAACUGAGUUAUGCUUGACGGUACCUGAUGAGAAAGCACUGGCUAACUACGUGCCAGCAGCCGCGGUAAUACGUAGGGAGCAAGCGUUGUCCGGAAUUAUUGGGCGUAAAGGGUGCGUAGGCGGCCCUUUAAGUCAGAUGUGAAAGCCCACGGCUUAACCGUGGGACUGCAUUUGAAACUGGAGGGCUUGAGUGUCGGAGAGGGCAGUGGAAUUCCCAGUGUAGCGGUGGAAUGCGUAGAUAUUGGGAGGAACACCAGUGGCGAAGGCGACUGCCUGGACGAUAACUGACGCUGAGGCACGAAAGCUAGGGGAGCAAAC
rnacentral:rRNA from 1 species